AUGGCAGAAUGGUCUUCUCCUCGUGCUCAAGAAAUCGAGAAACUUCUUAUGGGAUUUCAAUCAACUCCUCUUCUUUAUCUUCAUACACAGAUAGAAAUAGGAAAAGAGGAAAAGAGAGAAGUGGAGAAGAAGAGGAGAAAUCUAAGAGGAAAAACUCAAGAGCUCGAAAAAUCAAUGUACUCAAGAUAUUGGUGGUUCUCGCAAGGACUAGUUAGAGGGAUUACUAGCUUGUUAUUCCUUACUAGGUGGCUUACAAUUGCAAACAGUAGCUGCAAACUGAUGCACCCUUUGCUUGUCUAUUCAUGUACAACAAAUUACAUUGUUUUUAUAGCAGAAAACACAGACAAAUAA